UUGGAUGGAUAUGGAUUGGAUAGUUAAUGGAUGGAUCAAAACAAUCCAUUAGUCCAUUAACAAUCCACUAAAAGUUUUUUAAAAAUAUCCAAUCUAAUCCAUCCAUUAAGAAUAAAAUCCAUUUAAUCCAUCCAUUAUCAUAUUUUUAGUGGAUGGAUAUCCAUCCAUCCAUUUUUUAUUCUUUGAAUUUUUUUUUAAAAAAAAUCACUUAUUUUUUUGCAAAAUUUAUUUUUUUCAAUUUUUUUUAAUAAAACAAUAUCAGUUUUUU
rnacentral:lncRNA from 1 species